rnacentral:lncRNA from 1 species
UCCUGACAUGGUACGUAUGUGAAUUUGAAAGUAGAGAACGAUAAAAUAGUUCUCGAUCAUAAAAAUUUAUUUUUGCUGUUUGAUUCAUCGUAAUUUUAUUUUUGGUCAAAAUUCAAACUAUAAGAAAUAAUAUAAUUAUUUUCGACCCAUAGGCCAAAAUCCAUUACGAAAAAAAAAGUGAAAAAAAAUAAAAUAUUAACCCAUCUCUCACACCUCCAUCAUUUAUAUUAUUCGCUUAAUAUUAAACAAAGAAAAUAACUAAAAUUUUUUUAGUUUUACAGUCAUAUAAAUAAAUGGUGAAAGAAUAGUAAUUUUAACAUAAAUUUAAGCUCAUUCGAAUAUCUGAUUCAAUUUGAAUUUUACGCUUGGUGAUUCAAUCUGAAUUUUACGUAUUAUUUUGUAUCAUUUCUUCAAAAAAAAAGAAAGAAAAGUAAACUAUUGUGAGCUUAAAAAAGGGAUUUAUUAUGGAUUCAGAUGCUACUUUUUUUUCUUUUUCUUUUUCUUUUUUUUUCCUGAGAUUCUGUUGUUUAAAUUUUGUACGGAAGAAGAACAAAUAAGCAAUUGCCCUGUNAAAAAAAAAAAAAUCGUGGCGCGGCCUUGGCGGGGUUGGAGGCGAGGAAGGUUGGGGGUGCGUGGACGAGGGCAAGGGCGAGGGCGAGGGCGAGGGCUAGAGAAUGAGGGUGAGAGGCGAGACGGACCGUUUCCGCCUCCGCUCUGCCGGCGAGAAAAAAAAAGAACGAGAGAAACGAAGAGGAGAGAGAAAGAGGAAAGAGGAAAGAGAAAAAGUAAAAAGGGUAUUUUGGUCAGUCUGCUGAAAAAGUGGACCGAAUCUGCAAAAACGAAAAAGGUGGUCCGAUUUUGCAAAAGCCCAAAAUAAGUAGAUUUUUUAUGCAAAUUGGCCAAAAAUCUUUAUAGUACAAAAUAAUUUUGAAUUAAUUUUAAGACGUCUCCCGUGUGCGUACGGCGUAAUGGAUAUAAAGCAAACAAUGCCACAUCCACUAGCGAAAAUAAUAAUAAUAAUAAUAAUAAUAAGUCAUAAUUUAUGCUAUAAAAUAACUUAAAAACCGUAUAUCCAAAUGACCAAUUUGAUAAAAAAAUAUUAUUUAUCUCAUUAUUGCAACUAGAUUUAUAAAGCAUCUUGAAAGGUAUUAUAUUUUCUUUCCCAUUAUUUUGUUUCUCAAUAACUGCAAAAAUUUGAAAGCUUCCUCACAGGGUACGUAUGUGAAUUUGAAAGUAGAGAACGAUAAAAUAGUUCUCGAUCAUAAAAAUUUACUUUUGCUGUUUGAUUCAUCGUAAUUUUAUUUUUGGUCAAAAUUCAAACUAUAAGAAAUAAUAUAAUUAUUUUCGACCCAUAGGCCAAAAUCCAUUACGAAAAAAAAAGUGCAAAAAAAUAAAAUAUUAACCCAUCUCUCACACCUCCAUCAUUUAUAUUAUUCGCUUAAUAUUAAACAAAGAAAAUAACUAAAAUUUUUUUAGUUUUACAGUCAUAUAAAUAAAUGGUGAAAGAAUAGUAAUUUUAACAUAAAUUUAAGCUCAUUCGAAUAUCUG